UUGUAAGUCUAAAUAUAAAGACAACCCUAUCUGUUACAUAGGGAUGAUAACUCAACAAUAGAACAGGACAAGUAAAUAACACUACGCCUGCACCGGAAUCGGAAGAUACGAAGACAAAGGUUGAAGAAGCCAUCUACAGUCUUGAAGGAAUAAGUUCACUGGAAGAAGUUCAUUAAUAUGUUCAUGCCUCAGUGAAGAAUAAAGAUUGAAGUAUUCAAGAUUGUGGAAGCAAUGAAGAUGUUGUCCAAGUACUCGAAAGAUUUCAGUGCAACCCC
rnacentral:lncRNA from 1 species